UACAGAGGUCCCAAGCGUUGUUCGGAUUUACUGGGCGUAAAGGGCUCGUAGGUGGCCAACUAAGUCAUACGUGAAAUCCCUCGGCUUAACCGGGGAACUGCGUCUGAUACUGGAUGGCUUGAGGUUGGGAGAGGGAUGCGGAAUUCCAGGUGUAGCGGUGAAAUGCGUAGAUAUCUGGAGGAACACCGGUGGCGAAGGCGGCAUCCUGGACCAAUUCUGACACUGAGGAGCGAAAGCCAGGGGAGCAAACGGG
rnacentral:rRNA from 1 species